GGCUAAAGUUUCCAGCCCUUGAGCUCGGAGACAGCUCUGGGAAACUGGUCCAUCUCCUGGGUCAGGGCCCUGCUGUUCCUCAGGCUGCAGUUGGCGCUGUGCGAGCUUCAUCUUGCUGGAGAAAGGGGCGAGUACAUUUCCCAGGAGCCAAAGUUGUGGCCGUGAAGAGCCCCGGAGCCCUGUGAGCCCGGGCGAAAAUCCGAGCGGCGCAGGCGCAGUACUCAGCCCUUGGGCGGAGCUCGCGGUGGAAAGAGGAGGGAGGACGAGGAUCGGAGCAGAGAGCCGGGACUGGCGGGGGGCAGCGAGGUGCGGGCGGCGGAGCGGCGGGAUGCGGCGGUGCCGGGGCGCAGGGCUGGCCGGACUGGCCGCGGUGCUCCUGGUGGCUUCGGGCAGAGCCCAGGUGCAGCAGGAGCCGUCGGCAGAGACCACCGAGGGCACCGAAAUCAGCAUCAACUGCUCACACCCCAACAUACAGACCGGUGAUUACAUCUUCUGGUACCGUCUACUCCCGGGUCGAGGUCCCGAACUCCUCUUGUGGGGUACUAAAGGCUCCAGACCUCUGUCGGACCCGCCAGGACGGUUGUCGGUGGCGGCAGACCGCCGGUCCAGCGCCCUGUGGCUCGAACGGCCCCGGCGCGGGGACGCGGCGGUGUAUUACUGCGCCGUGGGAGACACGGGGAGAGGAGCCGGGGCUGCGGCCGGACACGAACCGCCGCGGGCGGGGCCGGGCGGGUGUGGCGGGGGCGGGGAGACAGUCCCUGAUGAGCCCGCCAGGGGGCGCUGCAGCUCCACCCGCAGGAGCCGCCUCGCCCCCUCCGGCACCGGGGCGAUUCCCCCGCCCGAGCAGCACCGGCACCUGCAUCGAUAUUGACAUUACCACCAGCCGCACCCCCACAUGGACUCAGACCACUGAGUCUACAUGCUGAUCCUUCCUUCUGACCCUUCCGAAUGACAGGAGAAGUUACCCAUCCACAGUUGUCCCUUGCUGAGGGCUGGUUGUGCUUCCCAGGAGGGGCAAAAUGCUGUAGUUGACAUCUCCACAGAGCCUCCUCAUGGCAGAGAUGGGCAGUGCCAAGCACACCUGAUGGAAAAGACUUUCUUCAUUCCCUGCCGUCACCUUUUUACACACAUUGAUAAUGUAACCCUGAGCCCUCUCUUCCCCAGGCUGAACACUGUCAGCCCUCUCAGAAUAUCCUCAUCGGAAAGACGCUCCAGUCCCUGCUGA